UCGAACAAUUGCAGUCUGUAUUGGUCAACAAACAUACGUAUAGCCGGGGACAAUUUAAAUUAAAAUUUGUCAACCGGCCCUCUCUCUGACUCUGGUCGGGUCGCCUCUGCUGAAUUGAAUUGCUCAACCAAAAUACCCGAAUCGCAUCUUCCUUCCUUCCUUCCUUGUUGUGGCGUGAUAGACAGGGCAGGCGAGAGAGAGAGAGAGAGAGAGAGAGAGAGAGAAGCGAAUGGGCAGGGGCGGUGGUAUCCUUGAGAAGCUGAGGAGUUUGGACGCCUACCCUAAAAUCAAUGACGAUUUCUUCAGCCGUACACUCUCCGGUGGCAUCAUUACCCUCGCCUCUUCCCUCCUCAUGCUCUUCCUUUUCUUCUCCGAGCUCAGACUAUACCUCCACACUGUUACAGAGUCAAAGCUUCUUGUAGAUGCUUCAAGAGGAGAAACCCUACAUAUCAAUUUUGAUGUAACUUUUCCUGCUAUCCGAUGCUCAUUACUCAGUCUUGACACAAUGGAUAUUAGCGGAGAGCAGCAUUUUGACAUACGACACCAUAUAGUCAAGAAACGAAUUGAUGCGCAUGGUAAUGUAAUAGAAGCUAAGAAGGAUGGAAUUGGUGCACCAAAGAUUGAGAAACCCUUGCAAAGGCAUGGUGGAAGGCUUGAACAUAAUGAAAAAUAUUGUGGAUCGUGCUUUGGAGCAGAAACGUCUGAUGAUGAUUGUUGCAACUCGUGCGAUGAAGUUCGUGAUGCAUAUAGGAAAAAAGGUUGGGCACUGACGAAUGCAGAGUUGAUAGACCAGUGCGAACGGGAAGGUUUUAUUCAAAAGGUCAAAGAUGAAGAUGGUGAAGGAUGUAAUAUUGAAGGAUCCCUUGAAGUUAACAAAGUGGCUGGAAAUUUUCAUUUUAUACCUGGAAAGAGUUUUCACCAGUCUAAUGUUCAUUUGCAUGAUUUGCUGGCUUUCCCGACAGAUAGUUACAAUAUAAGUCACAAGAUAAACAGAUUAGCUUUCGGUGACUACUUUCCUGGCGUGCAAAAUCCCCUUGAUGGUGUACAAUGGACGCAGGAAAGACCAAGUGGUGUAUACCAGUAUUUCAUCAAGGUGGUCCCUACGAUAUACACCAAUAUUAUAGGCCGUACAAUUUUCUCAAAUCAGUUGAAUUUGUAUGGUAUAGUACUCUGUGACAGAGCAUUAUAAGAGUUCGGAGCUGGGACACUCUCAAAUGCUUCCAGGAGUUUUCUUCUUUUAUGAUCUUUCUCCAAUUAAGGUCACAUUCAAAGAAGAACAUGUUCCGUUUUUACACUUCAUGACCCAUAUUUGUGCCAUAAUUGGAGGUAUAUUUACCAUUGCAGGACUUAUAGAUUCGUUUAUAUACUAUGGUCAAAGAGCAAUUAAGAAAAAGAUCGAAGCUGGAAAAUUUGGGUGAAAUCGGGCAUUUGGAUAUUUGCUGCUCCAAUUCUGGGACACAUGGUUGACAAGUAGAUGGUCAUUGAAUCAGUUUCUCUCUGUUCUCUCUCAAGUGUUGUCUUGAUCACAGACUAUUGGCAAAUAUGUGAAAAUUAGUAAGCUUACUGGUUAUACAAACUGAUUUUUUUCUUGCAUGUGGAACCAUCAAAUUCGUCCAGCCAUAAAAUUUUGGCUUAUUUAUUGA